rnacentral:rRNA from 1 species
AGCGAACGCUGGCGGCAGGCUUAACACAUGCAAGUCGAACGCUCACCUUCGGGUGGGAGUGGCAGACGGGUGAGUAACACGUGGGAACGUGCCCUUCGGUUCGGAAUAACCCUGGGAAACUAGGGCUAAUACCGGAUACGUCCGAGAGGAGAAAGGUUUUACUGCCGAAGGAUCGGCCCGCGUCUGAUUAGCUAGUUGGUGGGGUAACGGCCUACCAAGGCGACGAUCAGUAGCUGGUCUGAGAGGAUGAUCAGCCACACUGGGACUGAGACACGGCCCAGACUCCUACGGGAGGCAGCAGUGGGGAAUAUUGGACAAUGGGCGCAAGCCUGAUCCAGCCAUGCCGCGUGAGUGAUGAAGGCCUUAGGGUUGUAAAGCUCUUUUGUCCGGGACGAUAAUGAUGGUACCGGAAGAAUAAGCCCCGGCUAACUUCGUGCCAGCCGCCGCCGUAAGAC